GGAGAUAUCGUGCAGGGUGACGUUCUCUUCCUCAUUCUGUGUUGUAGGCGGAUCCAUGGGAGAAAUUGUUCUUUGGUGUCAGCACAGCACUCACUUGUUUAUGGCUUCCAGCUCUGUUAAAUGAAAGCCCUGAAGUGACUAGAACCCUGCUCCUCAGACUGCAGUCCACUGGCAAUCUGUUUUGUCUAAGCAUAUCCACCGCCCACCCCCGACACACACGCAUGGAUGUCAAGUGGCUCAUAAAACAGUCUUCGACUCUGCAAAAGGCUGUCUUUUAGAAGAAUUCAGAUCUGUGACCAAGCACUGACUCUUCUGCUGCAUGGAACCCUCUCAAUAUUCCAUGAUUUCGGCUGCACGUGACCCCUCUGGCCCCAGUGGCUGAGGACCCAGCUUCUCAUGGAAUGCCAAGCUACCUGCAUUUUCCCUCUCUCACAGACUGUACUCUUUGAGUAAUAUCUCAGCACCUAGAGGCGAAAGAGCCUUUAAGUAACAUGGACAGUCUCCCCAUCUCCACCCUCCCAUCCUCUAAACAGCUGAGACCCUUGCCUUUAUGGUUUAGCAAAUAAUCUGUUGGCUCGAUUAAAAAUUCAUUUGUCACAUGUUCUGUUGCUUAAAAGUGAAGGUUCUUAUUCACAUACUCUGAGACAACCACUGUUAAUCGUUUGGUACACACACAAAAUAUAGUUUAAUAUCUUAGAACUGUAUUGGAGU
ensembl:lncRNA